UUAUUUGCUUUUUUUUUCCCGCCGGAUUUUUGACAGGCGAUUUCUCAAAGACCUUUGGACUGAUUUUUAUGAAACUUUCAGGUUUGAUACCUUGUAUUUACACCUAUUUACAUCUGCUUUCAAUUUUUUGAUACAUGCCUUACUUUGUGAGUUAUUGCCCUUUAAUUGAUAAUUUUGAUGUCUCGUGUCCACUAAUAAACUCAAGAACCACUUAUGAUAAUUACAUGAAAGUUGGAGAACUUGUAGCCAAUACAUUGUAGAUGUGCAUAACGAUAAAAUUAUAAGCUGAUUUCCUAAAGAUCGGAAGCUAUGUGACGGCAAAUUUAAGUAAUUUUUUUCCAUGAAAUUUUGCUUCUUUUUGUAUAAUAACUUUUGAACCGUGAAUAAUUUGGUAAGAAAUAUAUUACAAAAGUUGUGCAAAAUUACAAGAGCUUUCAUAUAAGAUCAAGGAAAAGGGGCUGGCCCCUAUAAUUAGGGGUUAAUAACUCAUACACGUUUUUUUCUGUUAGCUAAAAAUAUUGGUUUAUUAUGAAAAAGUUUGACUGAAAUAAUUUAGAACUGAUUAAAUCUUGUCGUUUGAUAUAAAGAGAAAUAAACUUCAAGCUAUAUUUAAUACUCUUUAUAAAACAAAUAUGUGAGAAACCUUACAGGAACAAGUUGUCUACUAUAGCCAAGCCUUUACUGGGCCUCUUGCAUAGUUUUAGUUGAUCGAUGCAUCUGAAAGAUAUUAUUUUGAUUCGGUGUUUCUCUGUUUUCUUUUUAUUUAAAUAAGAAAUAUAAUGUGAUGUUGUAUACAACAAUAGGUAAAAUCAAAAUAUUUCUGCAUUAGUUAAGAGGAAGUCUUUUCGGGGCCUCUUGUUUGUAAACAACGCGUGGCAUUGUGGGAAAUGGGAAGGUACUAAAGACCUGAUAUACUAAAAACCUUAUUUGACCUGAUUCAAAAUCGUCAGUAAAUAUUCCAAACAAACGAAUUUCUGUAUAUCAUUUUGCAUCAUAGUCAUAAAGUAUUUAAAUAAGUCAUUUGAAGUACUCAAUAUUGUCAUUUAAUCUAAAAUAAAAACAUCAGGUAAAUAUCAGGUCUCUCGUAUAUCCGGUUAUUAGUGUGUCCCAAAAGUCGGACACAUGUUUACAAACUGAAAGUUGGAAAUCAUGUGAAGUUGAGCAUUUCUUACCACACAAGCCACAGACCGUAUGUAGACAUGCAUGCACAUUUAAUCUGCAGCUACGAAGUACUUUAUCAAUCCUCUGGAGCAUUAUUUUCAGCAGAAUUAUCCGAUUUAUAAAUUUUUGUGUGAAUUGUUUACGAGGAAAUUCCGACUGUUAAAUUAACAAGCUGAGCACUCUUGACUCUGGUUCGUGGUUCCCAGUGAUAAAUGUAUCGAGUGAUGAAAGAGUCGACGGUGACAUUUUAAAGUUUGAUUGGCAUGGACUAUCGGAAUGAAGAUGACUGCAGGAAUGGUUUGUUUGAUUAUUGGCCUAUCAAACAUUUUCCAGUCAUUUGAUGAUGCCACCACUUGGGAUAGUAAGCUGCAAAUAUAGACUUGUACUCAGCACUUAUUGCCUUUGAGAAGUAAGGGAUCCUUUUGACACUGAAUCUCGAUGUAUGCGGUCUCAUUGGAGUAACCCGUCUGAAGCAUUUAGCAAUGGGAUUGGAACCUGUGAUGUGUGACUGUCAUCAGAGUACUGAAAUUUGAUUCCAAGCACGAUCAUGAUUUGCCAGAAGAGCAUCUAUUGGGGGAUGACAAGGAAUAAACAGCAUAAUGAAAUUGAAACAUUC